rnacentral:tRNA from 1 species
UAAGAUGGCUGAAAUAGUGGUGGAUUGUAGUUCCAUGUAUGUAGGUUUAAAUCCUGCUCUUGC